rnacentral:lncRNA from 1 species
CGCUUCCAUAGGGACGUCGGAAAGUUCCGGGCGGUGGCGGAGCUGGAGCGGAGAAGAGUCCAGGAAUGCAAACAGCCAGAAGAACCUCUUGGGCUGCUUGCGGGGUCUGUUGGACACCUACUGCAGACACAACUACGGGGUUUUUGAGAGCUUCUCCAUGCACAGGCGAGGUGAGCAAGGCGGGUGGGGGAGGGGAGUAGGGUCCCUGAGAACAGGGAGUGUGUGUGUAUGCACACGUAAGCACCCUGUGGGAGGGUGUAGGAUUGUGAGCCAGAAGGAAUUAGGAGGGCUCAGGUAGGUGAGUGUAGAGUGGGGAUUUGUCUGUGUGUCUGCUGUGGGAGGGAACACAGGAGGGAGCUUCAGCUUGUCCUUCCAGCCUUCUGGGCAGAGAUGAGAUGAGAUGGGGGUGGGAAUGGUGGUGCAGGGGGCUGGAGAAGGAGACCUUAAUCGCCCUGAAUCAUUAGAGAUGCAGGAAAGGGAAACUUACCUAGUCUGCUGUUGGCAUGAAAGUUUAGGGGAGAAGAGAUGAGAAAUGAUAAUGUGAGGGAUAAUGUGAGGAGGCUAGUCACAAACUGUCCUUGGUACACUCCCUUUAUGAUCCCGAAAUCUCUGAAAUAAAAGUGUAUGAUAUUUGUUUGCAUAAGCAUUUCACUGAGAAAAAAGUAUUGAACUAAUUUCUUUCUUUUUUAUUUUAAACUUUUAUUUUAGUUUUAGGGAUACAUGUACAGGUUUGCUCUAUAGGUAAACUGCAUGUCAGGUGUUUGAUGUACAGAUAAUUUCAUCACCAAGGUAAUAAGCAUAGUAUCUCACAGGUAUUUUUCCUGAUCCUUUCCCUCCUCCUAUCCUUCACCCUCAAGUAGGUCCCCAUAUCUACUGUUCUCUUCUUUGUAUCCAUGUGUACUCAAUGUUUAGUUCCCACUUAUAAGUGAGAACAUGUGGUAUUUGGUUUUUUGUCCCUAUGUUAGUUUGCAUAAGAUAAUGGCCUCCAGCUCCAUCCAUGUUCCUGCAAAGGACAUGAUCUUGAGAGGUGACGCUGGCUGGGCUUCUGGGUUGGGCAGGGACUUGGAGAACUUUUCUGUCUAGCUAAAGGAUUGUAAAAGCACCAAUCAGCACUCUGUGAAAACACACCAAUCAGCACUCUGCAUCUAGCUAAAGGUUUGUAAAUGCACCAAUCAGCACUCUGUAGAAAUGCCCCAAUCAGUGCUCUGUGUCUAGCUAAAAGUUUGUAAACGUGCCAAUCAGCACUCUGUAAAAUGGACCAAUCAGCAGGAUGUGGACAGGGCCAAAUAAGGGAAUAAAAGCUGGCCAACCCAGCCAGCAGCUGCAACCCACUCAGGUCCCCUUCCACACUGUGGAAGCUUUGUCCUUUCACUCUUUGCAAUAAAUCUUGCUGCUGCUCACUCUUUGGGUCCGCACUACCUUUAUGAGCUGUAACACUCACUGCUAAGGUCUGCAGCUUCACUCCUGAAGCCAGCAAGACAACAAACCCACCAGGAGGAACGAACAACUCAGGACGCACCACCUUUAAGAGCUGUAACACUCACUGUGAAAGUCUGCAGCUUCACUCCUGAUGUCAGCGAGACCACAAACCCACUGGGAGGAAUGAACAACUCCAGAUGCACCACCUUUAAGAGCUGUAACACUCACAGCAAAGGUCUGCGGCUUCACUCCUGAAAUCAGCAAGACCACGAACCCACCAGAAGGAAGAAACUUGGGAUACAUUUGAACAUCUGAAGGAACAAACUCCGGACACACCAUCUUUAAGAACUGUAACACUCACCACAAGGGUUCAUGGCUUCAUUUUUGAAGUCAGCGAGACCAAGAACCCACCGGAAGGAACCAAUUCUGGACACAAUCUCAUUCUUUUUAUGGCUGCAUAGUAUUCCAUGGUGUAUAUGUACCACGUUUCCUUUAACCAGUCCACUGUUGAUGGGCAUCUAGGUUGAUUCAAUGUCUUUGCUAUUGUGAACAGUGCUGCAGUGAACAUAUGUGUGCAUGUGUCUUUAUGGUAGAAUGGUUUAUAUUCCUUUAGGUAUAUACACAGUAAUGGGAUUGCUGAAUCAAAUGGUAAUUUUCUUUUUAGUUCUUUGCACCCCACUGCUUUCCACAAUGGCUGAACUAAUUUACAUUUCUAUUAGCAGUGUAUAAGCAUUCUCUUUCCCUGCAACCUCACCAGCAUCUGUUAUUUUUUGACUUUUUAAUAGUAGCCAUUCACACUGGUAUGAGAUGGUAUCUUAUUGUGAUUUUGACUUGCAUAUCUCUAAUAAUUAGUGCUGUUGCGAAUUUUUUCCUAUGUUUGUUGGCUGCAUGUAUGUCUUCUUUUGAAAAGUGUCUGUUCAUGUCUGUUCAUGCCCAUAUUUUAAUGAGGUGGUUUGGUUUUUUUCUUGUAAAUUUGUUUAAGUUCCUUAUAGAUUCUGGAUAUUAGACCUUUGUCA